CUGUUUAUUUGUGCAGCCCUUUUUGACUUAUGUGCGCGCGAGUAAACAAAUAAAUAUUGCAUAAUCGUAAUAAAUUAAAAUAUUAAUAUAAAAUACAUUAUAGUAUUUUAUUAAAAUAAAAUUAAAUGAAAAUAAUAAAUAGCAUAAGUGCGCCAAACAUAAUAAGUUAAAUAAGUGAGAACAAAGUGAACAAGGAAUUUGGCAUGUUUCGUGAAAUAUCAUGGUUGUGACAUACCAAUUCUUCAUGCUGGAACCAAUAUGCCACAGGAAUAAACAAAUAUGUAUAUAAAUAUAUAUCAGAUAAGUAUAGUUAAUAUUUACAAAAAAUUAUUUAAAUAAAGAUAACAUCUAUGUGCUUUUGUAAUUAUAUUAUUGUUGAAUCAAUUCUUUUCUUUUUUCAGCUUUCUACUCGCAGAAUGUUAACAGCUGGAGAACAAUUCCCUGUAAAAUAGGAUUGUCAAAUUCUGCGGAUGCUAUAUCCUUGAGUGCAAUUUGAUUAGCAAAUAUUGUAAUCACAUCCUAACCUAACCUAACCUAACCUAACCUAACAUUAAAUAUCAAAGUUAAACAUUAAAUCUGUCAUAUGUCACUAUAGCAGUGGGACGACAAAUUGAAAAACAGCAAACAAAAUGUUGCUUUUAUUUGUCUCCGUAACAAGUUAUUAAGUUUAGAGAUCAGAUGUAGCAAGCUUUUUCCUUGAGAAUCGGUUUUUACUAGAGGCAACCGUAACAAAUGACAAGUUUGUGGAACAAGAAAAAUUAAAAGAACACGAAGUGGAAA